CUUCCCCUUUUCUCAAAUCUCGAUUUUUUACCAUGUUUCUGAUCUCGAUUACUUGCUGAUAUUUUUUGCAUCGUGUUUCCAGGUCCCAUGGUCAUUCAAAUUAAUAGUAGAAUUUUAGAGUAUGGUCAUGGAAUUUUCUUAUUGAUAUUUUGAUAGCGGCCAUGAUCCAACCCCAAUUAGCAUUUUGGAAUCAUUAUUUGGCAGCGUUAAUGUCAGUUUUUGUUUGGUUUAGUAAGGACGCAGUGGAGACCAUGAACAAUCAUAGCGCAGUGAAGAUUGGUUGUUUCCCUGGGUUUUGUGAGUGAUAGUGGUUUCACAGACAAUAAGAUUGUUUCUGUUGCUCACGAUUCACCUCAAUUAUUCACUGGUAGAUGCUAGGCAACAUAUUGAUUUUCCCUUCAUAUCGUGCUGAAUGGAAAAAUCCGAAUUGGAUUUGUUUGUUUGACGUGUUGUUUUGGGGAAAAGCUAGAAUGAGAGUCUGCUGUUGCUCCAGCUCCAACAAUUUUGGAUCCAAAUGUGAUGUAAUCCCUUUCUCUCACUUGACUGAGUUUUGCUUUUUUGGAGACUAAUAUUUUUUUGGAUCAGCUGACAAUCUUUUACUGAAGCUAAUGUAUCUGGUACUGAAGCUAAUGGAGUCAUUAAUGUAAAAAUUUGCACAACCAAAACAAUCAGUCAGACAUGGUGCCCGCCUGGUUCUGGACAAUGAUGGCUUUCACCGUGCUUGCUUCCCUGUACCUGUGUGGUGGACAAUUGUUGGUCGCUGUGCAUACCAUGGCCUCAUACACCUGCACCAUCCUGCUCAUCUACUAUGUGCGCCGCAUGGAGUUCGCUUCACCGGCGUCAAGGCCAGCGAUGGCAGUAGCCGUGGUGGUUCUCCUAUUGUGGACAUGGGAUUGAAUUAUAUGCCAAAUGCCUGACCGACAAUGCUGCUAGGGAUAGCAGCUGGUACUAUCUUCACGAUCGCUACUCCAAGCACGAGUUUUAUGACUGAGAACGAGGAGGCCUCCGUAGUUGGAGAACCUUGAUGUAACUUGGAUAGGGUACUGGAACAAAUUAAUGUAUCUUGUUAAGCAAUGAUUGAUUACUGUCUUAUGGGUGCACGCUUCCAUGUAAAUCGUUCUAUGUUAUGAAAUCAGUUUGUUUUUUCA